rnacentral:sRNA from 1 species
UUGGGGACUCGGGCAAGAAGAAGACCGUGAGGAAGAAAAAGA